AAUAUUGCACAAUGGAGGGAACUCUGAUGCAGCGACGCCGCGUGAGUGAAGAAGGUCUUCGGAUCGUAAAACUCUGUCCUUGGUGAAGAAAAGGACGGUAGCCAAGGAGGAAGCCCCUGCUAACUCCUUGCCAGCAGCCGCGGUAAUACGUAGGGGGCGAGCGUUGUCCGGAUUUAUUGGGCGUAAAGGGUGAGUAGGCGGUUAUAUAUGUCAGGGGUAAAAGGCUAUGGCUUAACCAUAGUUAGCACUUGAAACUGUAUGACUUGAGUGCAGGAGAGGUAAGCGGAAUUCCUAGUGUAGCGGUGAAAUGCGUAGAUAUUAGGAGGAACACCAGUGGCGAAGGCGGCUUACUGGACUGUAGCUGACGCUGAGUCACGAAAGCGUGGGUAGCAAAC
rnacentral:rRNA from 1 species